AUGGGAUGGAGCUGUAUCAUUCUCUUCCUUUUGUCAGUAAUUACAGGUGUCCUCUCUCAGGAACAGCUACAUCAGUCUGGGCCUGAACUGGGGAGACCUGGAACCUCAGUGAAGCUGUCUUACAAGGCUUCAGGAUACACCUUCACUAGCUACUAUAUUAACUGGGUAAAACAGAGGCCUGGACAGGGUCUGGAGUGGAUUGGAAGGAUUAAUCCUAAUACUGGUGGUACUAGCUACAAUGAGAAGUUCCAGGACAAGGCCACACUGACUGUAGACACAUCCUCUAGCACAGCCUACAUGGAGCUCAGCAGUCUGAUAUCUGAGGACUCUACAGUCUAUUACUGUGCAAGACACUGUUGCAACCACAUCCUGAGUGUGUCAGAAACCCUGGAGGAACAGGAAGCUGUGCUGAGACUGAAAUGA